AUUGAACGCUGGCGGCAUGCUUUACACAUGCAAGUCGAACGGCAGCGCGGGCUUCGGCCUGGCGGCGAGUGGCGAACGGGUGAGUAAUGCAUCGGAACGUGCCCAGUAGUGGGGGAUAGCCCGGCGAAAGCCGGAUUAAUACCGCAUACGACCUGAGGGUGAAAGCGGGGGACCGAAAGGCCUCGCGCUAUUGGAGCGGCCGAUGUCGGAUUAGCUAGUUGGUGGGGUAAAGGCUUACCAAGGCGACGAUCCGUAGCUGGUCUGAGAGGACGACCAGCCACACUGGGACUGAGACACGGCCCAGACUCCUACGGGAGGCAGCAGUGGGGAAUUUUGGACGAUGGGGGCAACCCUGAUCCAGCCAUGCCGCGUGCGGGAAGAAGGCCUUCGGGUUGUAAACCGCUUUUGUUCGGGAAGAAAUCCUCUGGGCUAAUACCCCGGGGGGAUGACGGUACCGGAAGAAUAAGCACCGGCUAACUACG
rnacentral:rRNA from 1 species